UUUUAUUACUCUUGCUAUCUUAUUUUCAUGGCAAUUAACUGGUUGUGAUUCUUCAGUCACUUGUAUUGCAUCUGUGGUUCAAUAAAAUUUUAUAGUGCUUAUAUAAUAGUCAUCUUGUGACCAUCUCCUCUAAAUACUAAAGCUGUUACUUGCAUGGUUCUUUGACAGCUAAAAAGACUUAUCCUACUAGGUUCAUCUCAAAAGGCCAGGGAAAUACCUUCACGUUUGUUUUCUCUCGUAAUUAUUGCUGUUAAACGUACCUAAGCACCAAGAUACAGGUUAAGUUCUUGCAUUAAGUGCUUCUAGUAGAGGGAAAUGCAGGUACAUUUACAUUAAAAUUUACAGUUUUACAUGAGAAAUACAAUUUCAAGUGAAUUUCAAAGGGCAGUGCUUCAUCUUUCAUUUGGAGAAGUCUAUUUUAGCCUUGGUCUUGUUGCAUUGGUGAGGCUUUAUUACUUCGUAAAUUACAUUUUUGUUUCAAAAUAUAUAUAUAUUU